UACGAGUGCCUCAAGCGUUACCCGGAAUCACUGGGCGUAAAGGGUGCGAAGGCGGACAUGUUAGUCCUGCGUUAAAAUCCGAGGCUUAACCUCGGCGAGGCGCGGGAGACGGCAUGUCUUGAGGAUGCGAGAGGCAGACGGAACCCACGGUGUAGAGGUGAAAUUCGUUGAUAUCGUGGGGAACACCAAAGGCGAAGGCAGUCUGCUGGCGCACUCCUGACGCUGUAGCACGAAAGCAUGGGUAGCGAAGAGG
rnacentral:misc_RNA from 1 species